rnacentral:lncRNA from 1 species
AUUCACUCUACAUAUUCAAUCCUAUAGACACCCUUUUAAUUCUUUGAUCACAGACGUAACUUCGAUUUCACAAAACAGUCAAGAGUAAUCACACCCACUUCAUUAAAAUCCCGAUUCACCAAUACAACACUGACUUUCAGCAACGAUUGCCUCAGUCUUUCCAAAAUCCUAUGAAGAAAAAAAACCCCCAAUUCUCUGUCUUUUUUCCUCCCUGAAGCAUGAAGCUAGCUCUCCGACCCUUAAAUCCCUUAUUCUUCCC